ACGGGUGAGUAACACGUGGGAACGUACCCUUUGGUUCGGAAUAACGCUGGGAAACUAGCGCUAAUACCGGAUACGCCCUUUUGGGGAAAGGCUUGCUGCCGAAGGAUCGGCCCGCGUCUGAUUGGCUAGUUGGUGGGGUAAUGGCCUACCAAGGCGACGAUCAGUAGCUGGUCUGAGAGGAUGAUCAGCCACGCUGGGACCGAGACACGGCCCAGACUCCUACGGGAGGCAGCAGUGGGGAAUAUUGGACAAUGGGCGCAAGCCUGAUCCAGCCAUGCCGCGUGAGUGAUGGAGGCCUUAGGGUUGUAAAGCUCUUUUGUCCGGGACGAUAAUGACGGUACCGGAAGAAUAAGCCCCGGCUAACUUCGUGCCAGCAGCCGCGGUAAUACGAAGGGGGCUAGCGUUGCUCGGAAUCACUGGGCGUAAAGGGCGCGUAGGCGGCCAUUCAAGUCGGGGGUGAAAGCCUGUGGCUCAACCACAGAAUUGCCUUCGAUACUGUUUGGCUUGAGUUUGGUAGAGGUUGGUGGAACUGCGAGUGUAGAGGUGAAAUUCGUAGA
rnacentral:rRNA from 1 species